GCCUGCUUAGUAUAGUGGUUAGUACUCCACGUUGUGGCCGUGGCGACGCUGGUUCGAUUCCAGCAGCAGGCA
ensembl:tRNA